GAACCUUAAUAAUUUUGAUGCUGACUUCAUAUCCUGUACCUUCUCCUCCUGAAAAUCCCACAAUACAUAGGGAGAAAGGAUUAAUCAGGCCAUCCUAUGGGAUUUAAAGUACCACAGAUUUGUGGACUCCGGUUGAAAUUGAUCUGGAACUCAGAGAUUAAUUCCAAAAGUUAUAAAUAAGGCAAGGACCAUAUGUGUUCACUAUUGGCAACUAGCCCAGCAGCACACGGAAGCUGAAUGAACUCUGGUUGAAUAAAUGAAUGAGAAGUAAGGUAUGGGGACCUCGCAUUUUGAGCAGAAGGCUGCUAAUUUCUCACGUGAUCUUUAUCAAGAAGUACAAAAUCAGUGAGCAGCAUACAGCUACAGGAACAUGUCUCAGUGACCGUCUGCUUCCAGUGGGUCUGAGAUGGCAUGGAUGAGUGUCUGGGGGCCUGUUUAGAGCUCAGCCCCAGACAUAUCUCAGCCAAGGAUUAGAAACUGCUCUGUUCACACACCAGCUAUAGCCUGUAGCACAGAAACCAUGCCUGCUUUUCCAACACAUCGCUGUGCUGUUUGGUUAGGAGGGGAUUAAGGAUACGAAAAAGAAAAAAAAGUGCAUCCUGCCCACCAGGAAGGACUAAUGGUAGUUUUCCUCAGACUCUCAUACAAGCUGCCGUGGACUUGGGCAUACAGCGAAAUAUAUAUGCACAUAUCAAAUGCCAGCCAAGAUGAACAAGCACCCCUCAAAAACGUCCUCUCUCUAAUCUCUGGAACCUGUAAAAAUGUCAUUACAUAGCCAAAAGACUACCCAGAUGUGAUGAAGCUUGGGGAUCUUGAAAAGGAAAGCUGAUUCCUCUGAGCCAAAUCUAAUCAUACCAGCCUAUAAAAAGAGAAACUCUUGGAAGGAAGGAAACUAGCUGGUUGUGUUAAGUGAUGUUUUAGAAAAAAUUGGCAACUCCAUGAAAAGUUGACUAAAUCAGACCAAGACUGGAUUCAGAUGGCUUAUGUGUUAUUUGUAAUAUUGCAAACCAAACAAAAAAAGAGGAGACCCCUUGCCCAGCUGGAGUCAGAGAGAUGCAGCAUAAGGAUUUGACCCACUAUUACUGACUUUGAAGAUGGAGGAAGGGGACUAUGAGCCACAGAAUGGAGGUGGCAUCUUGCAACAGCCCUCAGCUGAUAACCAGCAGGGAAAUAGAACCUCAGUCCUACAACUAUAAGGAACUGGAUUCUAUCAAUUGUCUGAAUAAACAAGGAAGAAGAUUCUUUCCCAAAAACCCCAGGAAGAACGCCAGGAACAGAUUGCCAAGAGAUAGAGGCUGUCCUUUCUGAGAGCUUCUACCUCUAAGUCUGAGUCCAGUCAAAAAUGAGAUUUUCUAAGAGUGACAAAAUAAAUAAGAUCAGACACCAGAAACAAAAACAAAACAAAACCCCAGAAAGGAACACAAGCUGCCAAUAUCUUGAUCUCAGUCUUGGGAGACCUAAGCAGAGACCUAAGCCUAUUGGACUUCUGACCUACAGUAACUGAAAUUAUAAAACUGGGGUUGUAUUAAUCUAGUCUGUUUCUGGUCAUUUGUUACAACAGCAAUAGGAAACUAAUACGCCUUUAUUGGAGGGUAAGAGACUGCAAGUCAUGCCAUAGGGUCAUCUUUUCUCUGUUCCUAUUCUCUUUUCUCUAAUGUCCAGCUGAUAGGCAUAAUUCUUCAUUUCAUAAUUUAACUCCUUCAGUUGCCUUUGGUAAACUCUGGUGCUUAUCCAUGUUUAAUACACAAAAGAUUUCUUUCUGAUCAAUGCAUCCCACUCAAGAUAGAAAUUAAGUGAUUUUUAAAUGUAAAAAGAGAAACAGGACUAGAAUUUCAAAUAGAAUGCCUAUAGUCUAAAACAACAAAAAGAUAAGACAACACAAAUGAGUACAUAGGGCAGAAAUUAGAAAAUAAAGACAGCACUUAAAAAGAGAAGUUAUUUAACAAGCAGAAGUAAGACUAAAUAUUUUCAUUAUAAUGAAUGUAAAUGGGAGAUUAGACUGGAAAACAAAAUCCAAAUGACAAACUGAAAAUAAAGAAACACAAAAGGAUUAAGUAAGUAUUAAAGCAGUUACAAAAGCAUAGAAUGUGGGUUUGAAAAGCAUA